rnacentral:rRNA from 1 species
AUACGUAGGUGGCAAGCGUUGUCCGGAAUUAUUGGGCGUAAAGCGCGCGCAGGCGGUCCUUUAAGUCUGAUGUGAAAGCCCACGGCUCAACCGUGGAGGGUCAUUGGAAACUGGGGGACUUGAGUGCAGAAGAGGAAAGUGGAAUUCCAAGUGUAGCGGUGAAAUGCGUAGAGAUUUGGAGGAACACCAGUGGCGAAGGCGACUUUCUGGUCUGUAACUGACGCCGAGGCGCGAAAGCGUGGGGAGCAAACAGGAUUAGAUACCCUGGUAGUCCACGCCGUAAACGAUGAGUGCUAAGUGUUAGGGGGUUUCCGCCCCUUAGUGCUGCAGCUAACGCAUUAAGCACUCCGCCUGGGGAGUACGGUCGCAAGACUGAAACUCAAGUGAAUUGACGGGG